rnacentral:rRNA from 1 species
UGGGGAAUAUUGGGCAAUGGGCGAAAGCCUGACCCAGCAACGCCGCGUGAAGGAAGAAGGUCUUCGGAUUGUAAACUUUUGUCUUAUGGGACGAUAAUGACGGUACCAUAGGAGGAAGCCACGACUAACUACGUGCCAGCAGUCGCGGUAAUACGUAGGUGGCGAGCGUUAUCCGGAAUUAUUGGGUGUAAAGGGUGCGUAGGCGGGACGUAAAGUCAGAUGUGAAAUGCGGAGGCUCAACCUCCGAACUGCAUUUGAAACUUACGAUCUUGAGUGGAGUAGAGGCAAGCGGAAUUCCCGGUGUAGCGGUGAAAUGCAUAGAUAUCGGGAGGAACACCAGUGGCGAAGGCGGCUUGCUGGGCUUUUACUGACGCUGAGGCACGAAAGUGUGGGGAGCAAACA